rnacentral:sRNA from 1 species
CUUCUUCGAUCUGCUGCGGGCAGAUGAAAUGAAUAUGCGCAUCGAUGCCGCCAGCGGUCAAAAUCUGCCCUUCUCCGGCGAUGAUUUCGGUGCCCGGCCCGAUGACGAGAUCGACGCUGUCCUGAAUGUCAGGAUUGCCGGCCUUGCCGAUACCGAAGAUGCGGCCGUUUUUGAUGCCGACAUCGGCUUUCACGAUGCCCCAGUGAUCGACGAUCAGCGCAUUCGUGAUCACCGCAUCCAUUGCCCCUUGCGCCGUGACCUGGCUUUGCCCCAUGCCGUCGCGGAU